GGGUCUGUAGCUCAGGUGGUUAGAGCGCACCCCUGAUAAGGGUGAGGUCGGUGGUUCAAGUCCUCAGACCCACCA
rnacentral:tRNA from 1 species